UAGGGAAUCUUCCGCAAUGGACGCAAGUCUGACGGAGCAACGCCGCGUGAGUGAAGAAGGAUUUCGGUUCGUAAAACUCUGUUGUUAGAGAAGAACAGCGCAUAGAGUAACUGUUAUGCGUGUGACGGUAUCUAACCAGAAAGCCUCGGCUAACUACGUGCCAGCAGCCGCGGUAAUACGUAGGUGGCAAGCGUUGUCCGGAUUUAUUGGGCGUAAAGCGAGCGCAGGCGGUCAAUUAAGUCUGAUGUGAAAGCCCCCGGCUCAACCGGGGAGAGUCAUUGGAAACUGGUUGACUUGAGUGCAGAAGAGGAGAGUGGAAUUCCAUGUGUAGCGGUGAAAUGCGUAGAUAUAUGGAGGAACACCAGUGGCGAAGGCGACUCUCUGGUCUGUAACUGACGCUGAGGCUCGAAAGCGUGGGUAGCAAACAGG
rnacentral:rRNA from 1 species